GACGAACGCUAGCGGCGUGCCUAAUACAUGCAAGUCGAACGAGAGCGACCGGUGCUUGCACUGGUCAAUCUAGUGGCGAACGGGUGAGUAACACGUGGGUAACCUGCCCAUCAGAGGGGGAUAACAUCCGGAAACGGAUGCUAAAACCGCAUAGGUCUUCGAACCGCAUGGUUUGAAGAGGAAAAGAGGCGCAAGCUUCUGCUGAUGGAUGGACCCGCGGUGCAUUAGCUAGUUGGUGAGGUAACGGCUCACCAAGGCCGUGAUGCAUAGCCGACCUGAGAGGGUGAUCGGCCACAUUGGGACUGAGACACGGCCCAAACUCCUACGGGAGGCAGCAGUAGGGAAUCUUCCGCAAUGGACGCAAGUCUGACGGAGCAACGCCGCGUGAGUGAAGAAGGUUUUCGGAUCGUAAAACUCUGUUGUUAGAGAAGAACAAGUGCUAGAGUAACUGUUAGCGCCUUGACGGUAUCUAACCAGAAAGCCACGGCUAACUACGUG
rnacentral:rRNA from 1 species